rnacentral:snoRNA from 1 species
GGCGGCCCUUAUCGAAGCUGCAGCUACUUCUGUGUAGUUGCAGUCAAAAAGGAGCCCAGAGUAACAAUUUUCCUUGACGGUCGCCGUUCUGUUUGCUGUAACUGAUCUGCAACAUUUUGGGGAAAGACAGUU